rnacentral:lncRNA from 1 species
GCACAGUCUUCGGGUUCCAAACUCCCGGGGACAAGUGAUGUUAAUCUCUCCCCUCUAAGCGAGGCUGUCACAAAAAGUAAGAAGGGAGACAGAGGUCUCAGAAGAUCAAAGAAGAACAAGUUCUGGAAUCGGAUAAAGUCUGGUCUGGGAUUAGGAGGUGGCUCGAGCUCAGGCACAGAGGUUGCAGAGUGUACGAGGUGCGGUAGGCCGCACAAGGGAGUCUGUCGGUUUGGGACUACAGCAUGUUACAGAUGCGGCCAGGAGGGGCACAUAGCUCGAGAGUGCCCUAAGGCAGCUUUUAUGACACCGUCCCAUCAGACAACUCCAGGCAGUAUGGUACAGCCAUCAGCUCCAGUCAUGUUUCAGGGCAGUGGUAGAGGCGGAGACAGGGGGACAGCCCCUUCUUCAGCAGGUUCCC